rnacentral:lncRNA from 1 species
GUAACUUUCAGAGAAUCUCUUUCUUUUAGGAUAAUAUUACAUGCUUAUUUCAUCUCCCUCCCUUCCUCCCUUCCUCCCUUCAUCCCGUCCCAUCCCGUCCCGUCCCGUCUCGUCUCAUCUUGUCUUGUCUUUGUCUUUUCUUUUCUUUGACAGGGUCACCCAGGCUGGAGUGCACUGGCAUGAUCACAGCUCACUGCAGACUCGAUCUCCCAGGUUCAGGUGAUCCUCCCACCUCAGUUUCCCAAGUAGCUGCGACUACAGGCACAUGCCACCACACCUGGCUAAUUUUUUUAUUUUUUGUAGAGAUGGGGUCUCAUUUUGUUGCCUAGGCUGGUCUCAAACUCCUGGGCUCAAGUGAUCCUCCUGUCCCAGCCUACCAAAGUGCUGGAAUUACAAGCAUGAGCCACCACUCUGGGCUCUACAUGCUUAUUUCAACAAGGCAGUGGUAUAUGGAAAGAGUAUGGACCUGAGGAAUCAGGGUAACAUUCUUGUUAUGUAGAACACACAGGACUUCCUAUUAUGAUGAAUGACAACUUCCAUUGAUUGAGCAGCUCCCAUACACCAAACACAGUGCUAGGCCUUUAAAAGCAUGAACACAUUUCAUCAUUAUCAUCAUCCUUAGUUCUGAGCAGAAGGGAAAACGAGGCUUGAAGAUAAGACCUGGAGAAGGGAGAAAUACGGUAAGCACUCAAUAAAUGAUUGUCGGUAGGUAGUUGUCAGGGUAGUGAUGAUGAUAAUAAAUUUCCCUGAGAACUGUUUUCAAAGUAGUAAUGUGCAGAAGGGAACAUACUACUCUGCCUUUUAAGAGCAAUGGGCUAUUU